GCAAGGGCCACAAUGAGAGGUGGCCAGGUGGGGCUUGCCUGAAGCUCUAAUGAGGAAGCUCCAGAUUGGAUGAUAGCAAAUCAACCCAUCAGACCUCUUCUAGAGUCUAAGUUUUGUGUAUACCCCUUGGAACUUAAGACAUUUUCAGUCUAAACUUUGGACUCAUUUGUCCUGAACCUUUGUGAAGAUGGCGCCGCUGGAAGUAAAGGAGAAAGCUGGGGUGUCAGCUAAGGAGAGAAGUGUCCCGCAGUGAAUGCCAGGCUUUGGCUUUUGGAGGUGUGGGGACCCCCACCCGGAGGGAACGCCACCUCUAUCCAGGCUGGAGGAGUGUACCCCAGCGGCCAGCACAGGGGGCCAUCAAUGACGCUGGCCUGGAAGCUCAGUGAAAAGACCAGGAGGAUGGCAGAUCUCCUGGAGCAGGGGGUGCAGCGAGGUCUCGGUCUCGGUCUUCUUGAUUCGCUGCAUCAUCUGGGCGUGCUCCGUGACCAGCUGCCGCAGGUCGGCCAUCUUCUGCAGCAACUUGGGGAAGAGGUACUGCGCGU